CAGCCGCCGCGGGAAUACGAAGGGUGCAAGCGUUAAUCGGAAUUACUGGGCGUAAAGCGUGCGCAGGCGGUUAUAUAAGACAGAUGUGAAAUCCCCGGGCUCAACCUGGGAACUGCAUUUGUGACUGUAUAGCUAGAGUACGGCAGAGGGGGAUGGAAUUCCGCGUGUAGCAGUGAAAUGCGUAGAUAUGCGGAGGAACACCGAUGGCGAAGGCAGUCCCCUGGGCCUGUACUGACGCUCAUGCACGAAAGCGUGGGGAGCAAACAGGAUUAGAUACCCGUGUAGUCCCUGUCUCUUAUAC
rnacentral:rRNA from 1 species